rnacentral:rRNA from 1 species
CGCAAGUGUAUUCCUAUACUGUUGCGUUUAAAUAGCUCGUAGUUGGAUCUGCGUGUUUAGCGCGCGGUGUUGUUUUUCAACAACUACUGCGACGCGACACUGUACGCUUUCAUAACACUCAUGUAGUAUUGUGUAAGCAAGUUUACUUUGAACAAAUCAGAGUGCUCAAAACGGGCGUUUCGCUCGAAUGUUCUUGCAUGGAAUAAUAGAAUAGGACCUCGCGUUCUAUUUUGUUGGUUUUCGGGACGCGGGUAAUGAUUAAGAGGGACAGACGGGGGCAUUUGUACUGCGACGUGAGAGGUGAAAUUCUUGGAUCGUCGCAAGACAGACUACUGCGAAAGCAUUUGCCAAGAAUGUUUNCAUUAA